UACGGGGGGGGCAAGCGUUGUUCGGAAUUACUGGGCGUAAAGGGCGCGUAGGCGGCCCGCUAAGUCGAACGUGAAAUCCCUGGGCUCAACCCAGGAACUGCGUCCGAUACUGGUGGGCUUGAAUCCGGGAGAGGGAUGUGGAAUUCCAGGUGUAGCGGUGAAAUGCGUAGAUAUCUGGAGGAACACCGGUGGCGAAGGCGACAUCCUGGACCGGUAUUGACGCUGAGGCGCGAAAGCCAGGGGAGCAAACGGG
rnacentral:rRNA from 1 species